ACAAGCGGUGGAGUAUGUGGUUUAAUUCGAUGCAACGCGAAGAACCUUACCUGGUCUUGACAUCCCGGAGACCCUUAGGAAACUAGGGGGUGGCUUCCAUCUGGAAGAAUCUGGAGACAGGUGCUGCAUGGCUGUCGUCAGCUCGUGUCGUGAGAUGUUGGGUUAAGUCCCGCAACGAGCGCAACCCUUGCCUUUAGUUGCCAGCAGUUCGGCUGGGCACUCUAAAGGGACUGCCGGUGUUAAACCGGAGGAGGGUGGGGAUGACGUCAAGUCCUCAUGGCCUUUAUGACCAGGGCUACACACGUACUACAAUGGCCGAUACAAAGGGCAGCGACACUGCGAGGUGAAGCCAAUCCCGUAAAAUCGGUCUCAGUCCGGAUUGGAGUCUGCAACUCGACUCCAUGAAGUUGGAAUCGCUAGUAAUCGUGGAUCAGCAUGCCACGGUGAAUACGUUCCCGGGCCUU
rnacentral:rRNA from 1 species